ACUAUUUUUUCCCCAUUAAUUUCUUUGUCUAUUCUAUCUGUGCUCUCUUAUUCCAGUAGCUUCGGGGGUAGAAGUACCAGAGACAGUACCUAACCAGCCACUUCUUCAUGGCACCAGCCCCCGAGGGACAGGGCCUAACUUCUAACUCUGAGUUAUGGUCAGAUGGGAACAAAACGAACAUUAGGAGAUUAUGGUGAUAAGGAUGAUGCUGCCCGUACAGCUUCCGGACCUCUUGCACACACGCAGCGGACUGCUGGGUGAAAACAGAGCCUUCAAACCACUUCAUUUCCUUUAAAGAGCAACAGCGAUUGCUGAAGGAGAUAUCGCAAUGGGUGUCAUCGCGAUGAAUGGUUUCUUGUAAAGUUAAUAAAUAAUGACUAAGGUGUGAUAAGAGAGCCCACCAACACUAAGAAUGUUCUAUACCCACCGCAAGGGAAGGAAUAAGAAUCCAAGAUUAUGGCAUCUUUGAGACUCUUGUCCUGAAUGAUGAUUUAAUGUAAUCUCUUCUUAGGUCUCAAGUUCUUGAAGGACGGCUCCUGCAUCUGUCUACUCCCUUAC